AGUUCCGCGGUAGAGGUAACCUAACGCUCUGAGGCUCAUUUUGCAGGCGUUGAAAUUGUCCUCACAGUUUUCAGUCGUGUCUGAACCAAUCAGAGUCCUUGUGACUGGAGCGGCUGGUCAGAUUGCAUAUUCACUGCUGUGCAGUAUUGGAAAUGGAUCUGUCUUUGGUAAAGACCAGCCUAUAAUUCUUGUGCUGUUGGAUAUCACCCCCAUGAUGGGUGUCCUGGACGGUGUCCUAAUGGAACUUCAAGACUGUGCCCUUCCCCUCCUGAAAGAUGUCAUCACAACAGAUAAAGAAGAGGUUGCCUUCAAAGACGUGGAUGUGGCCAUUCUCGUAGGCUCCAUGCCAAGAAGGGAGGGCAUAGAGAGAAAAGAUUUACUGAAAGCAAACGUGAAAAUCUUCAAAUCCCAGGGUGCAGCCUUGGAUAAAUAUGCAAAGAAGUCAGUUAAGGUUAUUGUUGUGGGUAAUCCAGCCAAUACCAACUGCCUGACUGCCUCCAUGUCAGCUCCAUCCAUCCCCAAGGAGAACUUCAGUUGUUUGACCCGUUUGGAUCACAACUGAGCUAAAGCUCAAAUUGCUCUUAAACUUGGUGUGACUGCUAAUGAUGUAAAGAAUGUCAUUAUCUGGGGAAACCAUUCCUCAACUCAGUAUCCAGAUGUCAACCAUGCCAAGGUGAAAUUGCAAGGAAAGGAAGUUGGUGUUUAUGAAGCUCUGAAAGAUGACAAUUGGCUCAAGGGAGAAUUUGUCACAACUGUGCAGCAGUGUGGCACUGCUGUCAUCAAGGCUCAAAAACUAUCCAGUGCAAUGUCUGCUGCAACAGCCAUCUGUGACCACGUCAGGGACAUCUGGUUUGGAACCCCAGAGGGUGAGUUUGUGUCCAUGGGUGUUAUCUCUGAUGGUAACUCCUUUGGUGUUCCUGAUGAUCUGCUCUACUCAUUCCCUGCUGUAAUCAAGAAUAAGACCUGGAAGUUUGUUGAAGGUCUCCCUAUUAAUGAUUUCUCACAUAAGAAGAUAGAUCUUACUGCAAAGGAACUGACAGAAGAAAAAGAAACUGCUUUUGAAUUUCUUUCAUCUGCCUGACUAGACAAUAAUAUUACGAAGCGCCUCAAAGCUGAAGAAUCUAAAUGUUGUCUUUGACUCAAGUACCAAAUGAUAAUAAUGCUAUACUUAAAUUACUUGUGAAAAACAACACAUUUUAAAAAUU